GCUCCCUAAAGCCGGAGCGUCGCGGUGAGCGAGACGGCCGGAACUGCUCGUGGGCCACCGUGGCCGCAUCUCCCCUCCUCCCUGAGGCAGCACCGCGGGGACCGCGCGCCGCCGGCCCAGCCACCAAGCUGUGCGCCGCGGGCGGCGAAGCGGGUAGUGCUGGUGUGGUACGGGCGAGUGCUUGGUGGGCGGCGGCGACACCAGGUGGUCCCCCGGCGCGCCGAUGGCCAAGACGUCGCCGUCGACGUGGGCAGCUCCCACCCCACGCGGCUGGCGACGCCGGCGCCGAGUCCGACGCGGCACUUCUGCACGGGAUCUGAAACAUCCGCGGCGGCCGGAGCGAGCUCGAGCGAAGCGGAUGCGCAAGCGGCGACGGCGACUAUGCAAGCAGCUAUUCUCCAUGGACCACAGGCACCAAAUGUUUGACAUAAUGCCUCACGAGCUGCAGCUCAUUCCGCUCGGUCUGUUCUUGCGCCGGUGCCCCGCGCUCCAGGAGCAGCUGCAGUGAAGGAACAACAGCUAGAAAGGUAGCUUCCUGCGCGCGGCUACUGCCAUAUCUGGAGCUGAUGAUGAUAGUGACUGUGCAAGUUACACAUAGGACAUAGCCAGCCUAGCUACUUCCUUGCUGCACUUUAGAAGAUGCCUACACUCAUUUUAUUCAGGAAAAAGUCGUGCUAACCUUUAAAUUGCUAUAAUUUGGUUGUUUUUCUAUUUCUAUUUCAGUUGGGAUACUAAUUUCAGUUGGGCCUAAGACUGGCCUAGUUAUAGUUGUGAUACUAA